AGUCAGUUGGCUGCUGUGAGGACAAGGAAAAGUCAGUGCCUGGAGGAACUGCCUACAAGAAACAUCAAGGAGGUAUGAAACUCUAGCAAUGUGUAACCCUUGUGAUGUAAUGACAACAAGAGUGUCUCCCUCAGGAGUCUGUGUUGGGACCAGUGCUGUUUAAUAUCUUCUUUGGUGACAUAGGCAGUGAGAUUGCCUAUUAGAAAACUUGCAGAGAAAACCAAGCUGAGGGUUGAUGGACAUAUCUGAGGAACAGGAUGUCAUCCAAAAGGACCCUGACAAGAAUUGGUCCCACGAGGUUCAGCAAUGCCAAAAACAAAAUCCUGUGCCUGUGUCAGGUGUCAAUUUAUGCUGAGAGAAGAUGUGUGAGAAGGAAUUGGAGAUACUGGUGGAUUAAAUACUGGCCAUGAAAUGACAAUGUGUGCUUGCACAGCCACGCCCACGGCUGCAUCAAAAGAAGAGGGAGGGGAUUCUGCCCUUCUCUGCUCUGGCCAAGAAAUGGACCCUUUGGCAGCAGAGUUUGGACAGUAUCUGUGGGAGGAAGGCAGAGAUGGCUCUUGCUUCAGGAAAAAUUUGGCUUUGUCUGAUCUUGGAGGUUUUCCUGGAGCCACAUUCUCAGCACACAAGUUCCUGACUUCCUGUACAGCCCACAUGAAGGAGAACUGUACUUUCACCUUUGAAAACAAUUUAGAAAAUGAUAAUGGAAAGUAUUGCUAAUCACAGAAUGGCUGAGAUUGGGAGGGACCUCUGGGGGUUGUCCUGCUACAAGAUGUUCCCUCUCUAGCAGGGCCUCCUAGACUCCAUGGCUGGGGAAAAUGCCCAGGUGGCUUUCAAACAGGAGCUGGACUCCACAACAUCUCUAGGUGACCUGUGCUGUGUUUGGUCAUCUGCCUGGUAUAAAACUGUGACAUUUCCAUGGAGAAGACCUGCUGCAAGUGAUUGUAUGUAGCAUUGGAAGCAUUGUAAUGUGAAGAGGAAUCCAUGAUAAAACACCAGCUGUUUACUGAGGAAAAGGCUUAGGUAUUACUAUUGCUGAAAAAGAACGUCUGCUUUUGAAAGAGUGAGGACUGCAAAGCCCAGCUUGGUUCUGGUCACUGGCAGUAACUGAACACGUGCUGCAGCUGCUGAUGUGCCUCUUUUGUGGGGUUUUUAUCAUGUUGAGUUUUAUAUCAGGUGUUUUUUAUCAUGUUGUGGGUAAGCUGAGUGACCAGUAAGUGUCCUCACAUUUGAAAGCAUCACUAAGAGUG